GAUCAUGGCUCAGGACGAACGCUGGCGGCGUGCCUAAUACAUGCAAGUCGAGCGAAGUUUUUCUGGUGCUUGCACCGGAAAAACUUAGCGGCGAACGGGUGAGUAACACGUAAAGAACCUGCCUCAUAGACUGGGACAACUAGUUGGAAACGAUAGCUAAUACCGGAUAACAGCAUUAACUGCAUGGUUGAUGUUUAAAAGUUGGUUUUGCUAACACUAUGAGAUGGCUUUGCGGUGCAUUAG
rnacentral:rRNA from 1 species